rnacentral:rRNA from 1 species
GACGAACGCUGGCGGCGCGCUUAACACAUGCAAGUCGAACGGAAAGGCCUGCUUUCCCUUGUGGAUUGCGGGUACUCGAGUGGCGAACGGGUGAGUAACACGUCAGUGAUCUGCCCCCAACUUGGGUAUAAGCCUGGGAACCUGGGUCUAAUUCCCGAUAGGACUGCAGGGUUGUGCCUGUGGUGGAAAACGAUCUUCUAGUGGUUGGGGAUGGGCUCGCGGCCUAUCAGCUUGGUGGUGGGGUAAUGGCCUACCACGGCGGCGACGGGUAGACGGCCUGGGAGGGCGGACGGGCACAUUAGGACUGAGACACGGCCCAGACGGCGACGGGAGGCAGGAGUGGUGAACAGUGCGCAAAGGGCGGAAGCCGGAUGCAGCGACGCGGCAUGAGGGAUGUCGGCCUGCGGGAUGUAGACAUCUGGGGAGCGCGAGGAAGCCAGCUGGUUGGAAGGGUGGUGACGGUAGUGGUAGAAGAAGCACCGGCUAACUACGU